rnacentral:rRNA from 1 species
UACGGAGGGUGCGAGCGUUGUCCGGAAUUAUUGGGCGUAAAGGGCUCGUAGGCGGUUUGUCGCGUCGGGAGUGAAAACCCAGGGCUUAACCCUGGGCUGGCUUCCGAUACGGGCAGACUAGAGGUAUGCAGGGGAGAACGGAAUUCCUGGUGUAGCGGUGAAAUGCGCAGAUAUCAGGAGGAACACCGGUGGCGAAGGCGGUUCUCUGGGCAUUACCUGACGCUGAGGAGCGAAAGUGUGGGGAGCGAACAGG